rnacentral:misc_RNA from 1 species
GAUGAAGAACGUAGCGAAAUGCGAUAAGUAAUGUGAAUUGCAGAAUUCAGUGAAUCAUCGAAUCUUUGAACGCACCUUGCACCCUUUGGCAUUCUGAAGGGUAUGCUCGUUUGAGUGUCAUUGUACUCUCACACUCCCGAUCUUUGCAUUGGGAGCAGUGGACUUGGGUUUGCUGCUUCACCGUCGCUUACCUCAAAUAGGUUAGUGCAACUCUUGGUUGGACAUAGUACGGCGUGAUAAGUGUUCUUCGCCGGUGCCUCGCAAAGAGGGUGGCCGAUCGGGAUGUUGUGCUCCAAACCGUCUUCGGACAAUCUCUGACGACUUGACCUUAAAUCGAGUAAGACUACCCGCUGAACUUAAGCAUAUCAAUAAGCGGAGGA